rnacentral:rRNA from 1 species
AUGAGCACGAGAGGGGAGAUGUCUCCCCGCCGCCGCCGCACCUCUCAGCCGCCUGCCUCUCUGCCGGAUGACGAUGACAUGCUCCGGGAGAUUCUCCUCCGCCUGCCCCCGCGGCCUUCCUCCCUCCCCCGGGCCUCCCUCGUCUGCAAGCGUUGGCGCAGCCUCGUCGCCGAUCCCCGAUUCCAACGCCGCUUCCGCGACCACCACGGCAAGCCUCCACUCCUUGGCUUCUUCAUCGGUAGGCGUCGCUCCUUUUCUUUUGUUCCAACGCUGGAUCGACCAGAUCGCAUCCCCGAAGCUCGCUUCACCAUUCUUCUCCACGAGGACGACAAAACCCUCGACUGCCGCCACGGACUCGUCCUUUUACUCAGCAGGCCGCUACGCCGCUUAGUUUUGUGGGACCCCGUCGCGCGCGAGCAGCGCCGGCUGAUCCUCCCACUAGAGUUGGACAACGGCCAGACGUUCAUCUUCAACGGGGCGGUGCUUCGCCGUACCGCGGCGAAGGCUGCCAUUUCCAGGUUGCCCUGA